UGUAUUGGUAGGCGCAGAAGAAAUUCCCUGUGUAGCGGUGAAAUGUGUAGAUAUUGGGAAGAACACCAGUGGCUAACGCGCUCUACUGGGCCGUACCUAACUCUAAAGGACUAAAGUUAGGGGAGCGAAAGGGAUUAGAUACCCCUGUAGUCACCCCCCCCCUUUAAACCAUUGGAUCUACUUAAAACCGGGGC
rnacentral:rRNA from 1 species